ACCCUCUAUGGUGUAGUUGGUAGCGCCUUGGCUUAGCAAUACUGUAAUAAGUCCCAGGUUCAAGUCCCGGUCGGGGUA